GGGUUGCUGGGCUUGUGUAACCGUGCCUAGAGGGCGGGGUUCCUGUACAUUCCCACUUCACCAGAUAACCUGCCCCCAACACCACUCCAGCUUCUGCCAGACAGAUGGAACUCUCCAACAUGAAAAUCUGCGCAGCCAUUCCAACAAGCAGGACUGUGCCUGAGGUUGCCCGAAGGAUGCCGAGGAAAAAGACUUAAGGACUGAGAGUGCUCUUACCCCAAGAUCGGAUGAAGAUGGAAUCCAUUUCAGUCUGAAAUUUGUGUUUCACGGCUGCAGUUGGGACAUUCCUCUGAUUUCUUGUUUCACUGUUAGAUGGAUGAUCUGUUCCUGUCCAACUCGUGUUCUAAUAGAGACUCCCUUGGUCUAAUAUGGUAGGUCUUUUUAAUGUCAUUGAGUACUUUUGUGUCCACUCCUCUUCAUUGCUAUGGGCAUGUUCCCCUUGGACACUGUUCCCAAGUAAAUCAACCUGGGAAGGAGGCUGGGAGCAGAGGCAGACAUGUGAAGGGAUUCUUGAGUAGAAGGACCUGGUGCCUUCUGUCUGGAGUUCUGCUGGUGAAUAGGCAAGUUGUCGUAUUUGGGAGUCACGUUCACAAAGCUAAGGAGUUUGAGAGGGGCAAAGUAACUUAGGUUUCAUGAAUCCAAAGAGAACACUGGCCCUGAGGAACUCAGGUUAUUGGGCAAGAAACAAAAAUUAGAAAUUAGGGCCCCCUGGAUGAACUCUUGAUUCCUUUAGGGAUGGAGGGAUGGAAAGGGGACAAUAAAGUGUAGGGAGUAGAAGUGGAGGGAGGAGACCAGGUUGAAGAUGUUAGCAGCCAGUGGGACUCUAGCUGGUAAAGCUGACCCAUCUCCUUAGGAGGAGGGAGAUGUGUUUUUGUCAAUUGUAAACUUGCCAAGGUUUAUUGUUCUGGGUUCAAGAACAGCCACCAGUUCCUGAGACUAGGCUGGAAAGAAUCUGCCAGUGAGUCUGUACCUGCAGGCAUCUAACUCUCCUCUCAGCCCAAUGUUCUCCCUAUCUCCUGAGCCCCCUGUGCACCCCACCCCCAAGAAAAAGGAAAUGAAAGAAAAUAAAAAGUAGAUGGGGAGGGAAUUAGACUCAUUUUUUUUUUCAGGCAGAUGUUGGGGUUAAAGCAGGUUGUUUGGUAACUGCUUUCAUUUUGGAGGGGAAAGAAAGCUGGUUAGGAGAGAAAGGGUGGUUGUGGGAGAGAAGAGCAGAGAAUGAGAUAGAAAUUCCUCGGCAGCCCAGCAGCUAGGGCCAAAUGGAAAACAACCUUAGCAACAGAAGUACAGUUUGAGAGGAAGGAAGGGUGAUCAUAAAACGUUUUUGCAUUGUUCUGUUCCUGCAAAUUAAUGUAGCCCUGAAAAUUUAUAAGAAAAUGAGAUCUUCAUACCUUGUUAAAAAACAAUUACAAAAAGAAAGGCAUAACUAUCAAUAGCCACUUUUGUCCUCAAAAAAACUUUUUUCUUUAGAUAUUGCUGUAUACACACAAUCCAUAACUAAACCAAACGGUAGCUGAAGGAAGAAAGGGAGGGGGAAAAAAAGAAGGACGCAACUUCCCUGCUGGUCGUACUGUGCAUCUAUCUCUUCACCUUUCAUAGCAGGGAGGUUGAACAAUCUUUUUUCAUUUCCGUCUAGUCUUUUCACUUAAAAAUGUAUGA